rnacentral:rRNA from 1 species
GUCUACGGCCAUACCACCCUGAACGCGCCCGAUCUUGUCUGAUCUCGGAAGCUAAGCAGGGUCGGGCCUGGUUAGUACUUGGAUGGGAGAAGCUGCUAUUUCUUCAGGGUAUAUGUGAAACUUGAAAGGUCUUGGCC